UGGCAGGUUGUCAAAUGGGCUAUGAUCUACCCUCGUAGGCUUCUUAGGGACACUUCGUUGGACUAGUUCGAGAACAAUCUAUGGAGCAUCCUUUGCCAAGACCACCUAGGUGUAACCAUUUACAUAGCCACAAGAACAGAAGUGCCAGAGUAGGACAACCUAUAAUACUGGCAGCAACACGUAGUUCACCAUACGACGACUAAUCUGUAAUGGCACUAACACCUAG
rnacentral:lncRNA from 1 species